CACCUUGAUCUUGGACUUCACCCUCCUUCAUCAAUUGGAAGCUGCUGAUCCUGAAUACUUUCCAAAUGCUGGAUGGUACAGAGGGAACCUGAAGCAGGGGUGGUUGCUCCUCUUAAUGGGAGGCCCAGAGAAGAGUUGGCGAAUCCUGUUGGGCUAGGAGGAGGAAUAGGAGUAGUAUUAGUUAGACCAAAUGGUAGAACAGGACCUGGACCUGGAAUCCCAGUGAACAUCCUGCAUCCUCAGUGGCCAGCUGUCUGAGGCCACAGUUGUUUCUGAUGAUCGAGGACAAGGAGACUUACCACCCCAUGGCUGAGGCAUUCACAAAAAAAUUAGCUCACAU
rnacentral:lncRNA from 10 species